UGGCGGACGGGUGAGUAAUGUCUGGGAAACUGCCCGAUGGAGGGGGAUAACUACUGGAAACGGUAGCUAAUACCGCAUAACGUCGCAAGACCAAAGAGGGGGACCUUCGGGCCUCUUGCCAUCGGAUGUGCCCAGAUGGGAUUAGCUAGUAGGUGGGGUAAAGGCUCACCUAGGCGACGAUCCCUAGCUGGUCUGAGAGGAUGACCAGCCACACUGGAACCGAGACACGGUCCAG
rnacentral:rRNA from 1 species